rnacentral:rRNA from 1 species
AGUGUACCCGCGGCUAGACGGAAAGACCCCGUGAACCUUUACUACAGCUUGGCACUGAACAUUGACCCUACAUGUGUAGGAUAGGUGGGAGGCUUUGAAGCGCAGUCGCUAGAUUGCGUGGAGCCAUCCUUGAAAUACCACCCUUGUAGUGUUGAUGUUCUAACGUUGACCCCUUAUCGGGGUUGCGGACAGUGCCUGGUGGGUAGUUUGACUGGGGCGGUCUCCUCCCAAAGCGUAACGGAGGAGCACGA